AACAGAGAGAAUCAACAUUAAGCCCCAUUGGACUGGAUUCUGAAGAUGCUUGAGGACUUCCUGCCUUAGUCAGAUUUGGUUUGGAACUGGGGCAGGGCCAGGCCUGCAGGUGGAAGCAACAUCAGCCCCAGCUGUGGGUCCUUCUGACCUCUUUUUCUCUCUACCAGAGAACUGGCUAUUUUUACCUGUCAACUGAGAAGGAUGGAUAGAGAAAAGCAUCAUUACAAAAGUGAAAUGUGUGAAUUUUAUUCUGGCUUUGAACAUUGAGUAGACGAAGAAGACAAUUCCAGACGGAGGAAACUCCACAAGAAAUAUCAUGGAAAUUUGAAAGAACACAGUGGGCUUGGGAAGAGAGAUCUCAGUGGUGGAAGCACCAUCAUCCCAAGGAGACUUAGGACAUUAUUUGAAGAGAGUUUUCCCCUGAGGAAAGUGCUUCAGAGGAGAAAAUACACCAGAAAAAGACAAGGCCCUGCUCUGAGGAGUGAAGACACAAUCCAGCAGGCAGGAGGGAUGGCUAAGUUCAAAGUCUUGAGAAGUGCCCCUCAUGGACACCCCAGGGUGCCCAUCUCCAGGUUACCACCAGGUGCUUCCAAGACCAAGAUAACCAGGCAAUCAUAGUAGAUGCAUCAAUGCACCCUUGCCCAAGGGCCUAGACAAGAGGAGGAAGGAAAGGAGGAGCACGUGCACAAAGCUAAGGAGGUGAUUAACAACAUGAUACAGUAUUGUUUAGCUUCGCAUGAAUUUUAUCACCUUGCCUAGAACCAGCCACCAUCUGCCAGGGCUCCUGACUUUUUCUGAAAUGAAUAGACACUAAAGCCUGCUGGGGAAUUUCAUGGAAAUCAAGAUGACUCAACCCAGAGUCCAUUUCAAGGCUAGGAUGCUAGAGGACGCCAACAAAGGAGUAGGGAAGUGAAACGGAUCAGCUCACAUCCAAGCCCUUGCAUGAUCAAUCCUGCAGUAGGAGUGCUGCUCAGUUGGGACUCAUGAGAGCCCGGAAGAGGAAAAAGCAGCUCUAAGCAUAGCAAAGAAGCUGUUAUGGAAAAGACCCAAAUGUUAAAAUGGUGGACAUAGUAAAGUGAUUGGUUCUGCUUAGGGGAAUCUAGAUCCCCACAUUUUGACCUCCACUGGAGUCUCAGAAGAACAAGUGCCAGGGGGGCUUGCCACAGAGGCCAAGGCAGUGAAUGUCAGGCACAUCACAGUCCCCAAGAUGGGGAGAAGACUGAGAUGCAGGGUAACAACUGCAAUCCAUUCAUGGGAGCCAUGUUUAUCUUAAAUCAUUGACAGUGAGAUAAGGAUCAUGUCAGCCUUCAUACCUUUGAUGAUGAUCCCAGGCUGCAACAGUGACACAUAGAACUGGAUUCAGUAACUAACUACAGAUUCCAUCAACCAGGACUAGUAAAGUGAAAGGCAGAAAUUGGGAGGAGGGGUUUCUUUCUUGCUUAUAAAACUUUAUUUGGUUGUGUUGAGUAUGUGCAUGUAUGUAUGAAAUCCCAUAAAGCAGUCUUCUUAGGAACAAGCCAACAUGCCACAAUGUAGGAGAUCUUUGGAGCACUGGCCUAAAUGGCAGAGAGCUCAAGGGACUCUGCUUUGUACAAGGCAUGAUUUGUACCACCACCACUAUCCCUGUUUCAGAGCACUGUUGAAUUGUUCCAAACCUGGAUUUCUAUGUCAGCUCCCUGUCUAUAGUACUUGACUGAUAAAUGCUAGUUUCUGAAAUCUGCUUUGGUUCUAUAAUUUAUUAGACAGCUUUUUCUUCCCAUUUUAUUACUUGUUUUUACUGUCAUUGGUAUAUUAUCUCUUACAGUGAAAACAUUCAUAGGCUGAUUGAAGAGAAGAUCUGAAAUUAUUAGGCAGCAAGCAUACAAAACCCUUGCUUUAUAAAGAUAAUAUCUUAAAGGCCUAAUGUCUAUGGUUCAAAGCAGCCUGGAGAUGUUGGCUAAAUCUUCCAUCAUAGAGUCCUCAUGGGAUCUGGAAGCUCUGAUUUAUCUUCCUUCAGGCCCUAUAAGUUAGCUUUCCACAUCUGUAGGUUCCACAAUCAACCUUGGAUCAAAAACAUUUGAAA
rnacentral:lncRNA from 1 species